rnacentral:rRNA from 1 species
GACGAACGCUGGCGGCGUGCUUAACACAUGCAAGUCGAACGGAAAGGCCCUGCUUUUGUGGGGUGCUCGAGUGGCGAACGGGUGAGUAACACGUGAGUAACCUGCCCUUGACUUUGGGAUAACUUCAGGAAACUGGGGCUAAUACCGGAUAGGAGCUCCUGCUGCAUGGUGGGGGUUGGAAAGUUUCGGCGGUUGGGGAUGGACUCGCGGCUUAUCAGCUUGUUGGUGGGGUAGUGGCUUACCAAGGCUUUGACGGGUAGCCGGCCUGAGAGGGUGACCGGCCACAAUGGGACUGAGAGACGGCCCAGACUCCUACGGGAGGCAGCAGUGGGGAAUAUUGCACAAUGGGCGGAAGCCUGAUGCAGCAACGCCGCGUGCGGGAUGACGGCCUACGGGUUGUAAACCGCUUUCGCCUGUGACGAAGCGUGAGUGACGGUAAUGGGUAAAGAAGCACCGGCUAACUACGUG